UACGAAGGGGGCUAGCGUUGUUCGGAAUUACUGGGCGUAAAGCGCACGUAGGCGGAUAUUUAAGUCAGGGGUGAAAGCCCAGAGCUCAACUCUGGAAUUGCCUUUGAGACUGAGUGGCUUGAGUACGGGAGAGGUGAGUGGAAUUCCCAGUGUAGAGGUGAAAUUCGUAGAUAUUGGGAAGAACACCGGUGGCGAAGGCGGCUCACUGGCCCGUAACUGACGCUCAUGCACGACAGCGUGGGGAUCAAACAGG
rnacentral:rRNA from 1 species